rnacentral:rRNA from 1 species
UGGGGAAUUUUGGACAAUGGGCGAAAGCCUGAUCCAGCCAUUCCGCGUGAGUGAAGAAGGCCUUCGGGUUGUAAAGCUCUUUCGCAAGGGAAGAAAACUUACCCUCUAACAUAGGGUGAGGUUGACGGUACCUUGAUAAGAAGCACCGGCUAACUAC